AAAAAUUCUAAUAAUAUUUUUUAGCUAGUAUUUUAAGUAAGAUUCUCGAUUAUUAUAUUAUACCAAGCUAGGAUAGCCUCUCAGGUGCUUUUCAAAAUGUCAUGCAAUGUACCUAGAGUUUUCCGUGCUGAUUUAUCUAUUUGCGGAUAUUCUAUGGCUUGUGCCCAUCAAAAGACCAUGCUUUUGCUCGGAUUAAGAAAAAUAAUGUACAUCCGGUCAUUAUGACGUAGACUUUAGGCACAUCAUUAUCAUUAGCUUCACUUAUAUCUAAUAUAAAACUCUCCUCCACCUCAUCACCAUCACAGUAAUCAAAUUAAAAGAGUCCAUUAACCCAAGCAAUCCGAUCUAGCGAUCUCAAUGCUACCUCUCCCAAUGGCAUAUUUCUAUCCUAUCCCUCCCUCAAACA
rnacentral:lncRNA from 1 species